rnacentral:rRNA from 1 species
CAUAUAAUUAACCGGAGGAAAAGAAACUAACUAGGAUUCCCUCAGUAAGGGCGACUGAACCGGGAAAAGAUCAUCUUGUGAAUCUGUACAGGCUAGCCUUGUACCGAGUUGUGAUGUAUAGACGCAAAAUCAGUGUGGGUUCUGGACUAAGUCCCUUGGAAAAGGGCAGCAGAGAGGGUGAGACUCCCGUUCUUGUCUAGGACUUUAUACUAUGGUAUUUGUUGUCAACGAGUCGAGUUGCUUGGGAUUGCAGCUCAAAGUGGGAUGUAAAUUCAUUCUAAAUCUAAAUAUUGGUGGGAGACCGAUAGUGUACAAGUACCGUGAGGGAAAGAUGCAAAGAACUUUGAAAAGAGAGUUAAAGAGUACCUGAAAUUGCUGAAAGGGAAGCAAAGGAAACCAGUGCUUUGCCUACUAUUUUUCUCUUGCUGCUUGCAGCUAGGGCGCUGUGGUAGGUUUUAGGCCAGGAUGGGUUUGGCUUGGGACAAAUGGCUAUUCAGGAGGUAGGUUCUUCGGAAUUGAUACUGUUUAGUUUUGUCUCUGGCUGGAUCGAGGCUAGUCACUAUGUGCAUGUGAUCCUGGCAAAAUGGUUUUCUUUACCCCGUCUUG